AUUGAACGCUGGCGGCAUGCUUUACACAUGCAAGUCGAACGGCAGCGCGGGCUUCGGCCUGGCGGCGAGUGGCGAACGGGUGAGUAAUACAUCGGAACGUGCCCCGUAGUGGGGGAUAGCUCGGCGAAAGCCGGAUUAAUACCGCAUACGACCUGAGGGUGAAAGCGGGGGAGCUUCGGACCUCGCGCUCUUGGAGGGGCCGACGGAGGGUUAGCUAGUUGGUGGGGUAAGGACCUACCAAGGCGACGAUCUGUAGCUGGUCUGAGAGGACGACCAGCCACACUGGGACGGAGACACGGACAAGAGUACUACGGGAGGGAGCAGUGGGGAAUUUUGGACAAUGGGGGAAAGCCUGAUACAGCAAUGGCGCGUGUGUGAUGAAGGCCUUCGGGUUGUAAAGCACUUUUGGCGGGAACGAAAAGGACUGUGCCAAUACUACGGUUCGAUGACGGUACCCGCAGAAUAAGCACCGGCUAACUACGUG
rnacentral:rRNA from 1 species